rnacentral:rRNA from 1 species
CCUACGGGCGGCAGCAGUGAGGAAUAUUGGUCAAUGGGCGUAAGCCUGAACCAGCCAAGCCGCGUGAAGGAAGACGGCCCUACGAGUUGUAAACUUCUUUUAUAAAGGAGUAAACGCAGGUACGUGUGUCUUUUUGUAUGUACUGUAUGAAUAAGGAUCGGCUAACUCCGUGCCAGCAGCCGCGGUAAUACGGAGGAUUCGAGCGUUAUCCGGAUUUAUUGGGUUUAAAGGGUGCGUAGGUGGUCUGUUAAGUUAGUGGUGAAAGUCCGAGGCUCAACCUGAGAAUUGCAAUGGAUACUGGUCGGCUUGAGAGUAGUUGAGGUAGGCGGAAUGUGUGGUGUAGCGGUGAAAUGCUUAGAUAUCACGAAGAACACCGAUGGCGAAGGCAGCUUACUAAGCUGCUACUGACGUUGAGGCUCGAAAGCGUGGGGAGCAAACAGGAUUAGAUACCCGUGUAGUC